UUCCCUAAGAUUUAACUAAAAAUUUUCUGACAUGAGUGAGUUUACUCGUUUCAGACACAGUCGUGUCUUAUUGUUAGUGGUGUUGGGGUUGAGAGCGGGGAUCUUACGGUUUUCGGUACUUUCGGGUUUGAUAUCCAUCAUAGAUAUUCGGAUCCUGUUAAGGAAUUCUUAGUCGUCGAUGAAUUGCCGGUGAAGGGAAGUCCGGAGUAUUACACCGCCAUGGUCCACCGCGAUACAAUAAUCAAGGGCCGUCAUUUGGCGAUGGCGAAUGAUCAGUCGCCUGUACUUUCAUCGACGGGAACGAGACUUAUCGAUUGAACUCCUUGGAUUUUUGCAUUACGCCAAUGUAUCGGUGGGUACGCCAGCUUUGUCAUUUUUGGUAGCACUCGACACCGGCAGCGAUCUCUUCUGGUUGCCAUGCGAUGUUCCAGUUGUGUCAAAGGCAUAGAAACAAUCUGGCUAUCCGGCAAUAGAGUUAACAUCUACAGCCCUAAUAUCAUCCACAAGCUCAAAGGUUCCCUGUAACAGUGCCAUGGCGAACAUCAUAGAAGAUGUUCUUCGCCUUCGAAUAAUUGUCCUUAUCAAGUUGACUACUGUCCGAUGGCACUUCAUCGAUCGGAGUUUUGGUGCAGGAUGUCUUGCACUUAACCACGGAUGCCGAUGAAACCAAACCCGUCGAAGCCAAGAUUACUUUCGGGUUUGUAACUUUUAGUUUCCUUUG